rnacentral:lncRNA from 1 species
AACAUCAAGAAGAUCAUGAUCGGAAAGUAACUCAACAGCACUGGAAGCUAUAGGCUGUUUGCUAACUGGAUCCGCCUGUAUAGCUUGGUUAUCUAAUGGUUCUGCACUCAGGCAAGAAGAUACACAAGGAAGAGGAAAGGAACUCUCAAUGGCCGUGUCAUCCUCCCAGUCCUCUUCGUUAAAUGGCGCACCAUAUUGCUCCCCAAUUCUAGGACCCAGACCACUCUUUUGGAAUACUUUGCAGAGUAAGUAAGCGUCCUGUAUUGUAUAACAAGGAAAGUCUAGUAAGUAAAUUGUAAACUAAUUAAGUACAACAAGAUCAAUAGCUUUUGCAAAAGAAAAGGUCAAAUUGAAUGCAGCAUCCUUGCAGUGAUAUCGAACAAGAAGUAAUUGUAAGAAAAGAAAAAACAUCCCCAUAAAUUAGCAUAGCUAUGGUGACUUCCAAUUGAACGGCAUACUGUUUGAUAGUGGCUCCUUCAACCUACUUUUAGUUUUUAUAAGGCUACUUUGAAAAAAAUCUUUCAUGGAAUGCAGACUCAUGACAGGCCAAGCAGUCCCGGUGGAUAGUUAUGCCCUAUGGUCUAUAGGUGCCAAGCCAAAAGAAUUAAGUGCCCAGGUGAUUAACAGGAAGAAGGAACAAUAAAGCAGGUAAAAAUACAACUAAGCAACCAAUACAAUAAAGACACUGUAUGCAUAAAAUACUAUCCCCCGAGGACAUUUUAGAAAUGCAGUAACAAAGAUCAUACAUAACACCUUUAAAUAAGUAUCGGAAGCAAGCUUAACCUGUGCGAAUCCAGCAUCAACCAAUUCCCUGCUCUGUAGUCGGUAUUCAUACAUCACCCAGUUAGUCCUUGUCCCCUUUGGUGGUUUCCCCUCGUGAAAAACUAGAGUCCUUCUCAUACCAACCGUACAAGAGUUGUGAAUGACAGAUUUGUCUUUUCCAGUAGCCUUCCAAUAACCACCAUCAGUUGCUCGAUUUGAUCGAGAGCCAUUUG